rnacentral:rRNA from 1 species
GACGAACGCUGGCGGCGUGCUUAACACAUGCAAGUCGAACGGAAAGGCCCUGCUCUUGUGGGGUGCUCGAGUGGCGAACGGGUGAGUAACACGUGAGUAACCUGCCCUUGACUUUGGGAUAACUUCAGGAAACUGGGGCUAAUACCGGAUAGGAGCUCCUGCUGCAUGGUGGGGGUUGGAAAGUUUCGGCGGUUGGGGAUGGACUCGCGGCUUAUCAGCUUGUUGGUGGGGUAGUGGCUUACCAAGGCUUUGACGGGUAGCCGGCCUGAGAGGGUGACCGGCCACAAUGGGACUGAGAGACGGCCCAGACUCCUACGGGAGGCAGCAGUGGGGAAUAUUGCACAGUGGGCGGAAGCCUGAUGCAGCAACGCCGCGUGCGGGAUGACGGCCUUCGGGUUGUAAACCGCUUUCGCCUGUGACGAAGCGUGAGUGACGGUAAUGGGUAAAGAAGCACCGGCUAACUACGUG